GACGAACGCUGGCGGCGUGCCUAAUACAUGCAAGUAGAACGCUGAAGGGAGAGCUUGCUCUUCUGGAUGAGUUGCGAACGGGUGAGUAACGCGUAGGUAACCUGCCUGGUAGCGGGGGAUAACUAUUGGAAACGAUAGCUAAUACCGCAUAAGAGUAGAUGUUGCAUGACAUUUGCUUAAAAGGUGCAAUUGCAUCACUACCAGAUGGACCUGCGUUGUAUUAGCUAGUUGGUGGGGUAACGGCUCACCAAGGCGACGAUACAUAGCCGACCUGAGAGGGUGAUCGGCCACACUGGGACUGAGACACGGCCCAGACUCCUACGGGAGGCAGCAGUAGGGAAUCUUCGGCAAUGGACGGAAGUCUGACCGAGCAACGCCGCGUGAGUGAAGAAGGUUUUCGGAUCGUAAAGCUCUGUUGUAAGAGAAGAACGAGUGUGAGAGUGGAAAGUUCACACUGUGACGGUAUCUUACCAGAAAGGGACGGCUAACUACGUGCCAGCAGCCGCGGUAAUACGUAGGUCCCGAGCGUUGUCCGGAUUUAUUGGGCGUAAAGCGAGCGCAGGCGGUUAGAUAAGUCUGAAGUUAAAGGCUGUGGCUUAACCAUAGUACGCUUUGGAAACUGUUUAACUUGAGUGCAAGAGGGGAGAGUGGAAUUCCAUGUGUAGCGGUGAAAUGCGUAGAUAUAUGGAGGAACACCGGUGGCGAAAGCGGCUCUCUGGCUUGUAACUGACGCUGAGGCUCGAAAGCGUGGGGAGCAAACAGG
rnacentral:rRNA from 1 species